UACGUAGGGUGCGAGCGUUAAUCGGAAUUACUGGGCGUAAAGCGUGCGCAGGCGGUUAUUUAAGUCAGGUGUGAAAGCCCUGGGCUUAACCUAGGAAUUGCGCUUGAGCCUGGAUAGCUUGGAGUGCGGCAGAGGGAGGUGGAAUUCCACGUGUAGCAGUGAAAUGCGUAGAGAUGUGGAGGAACACCGAUGGCGAAGGCAGCCUCCUGGGCCAGCACUGACGCUCAUGCACGAAAGCGUGGGGAGCAAACAGG
rnacentral:rRNA from 1 species